UACGUAGGGUGCGAGCGUUGUCCGGAAUUAUUGGGCGUAAAGAGCUCGUAGGCGGUGUGUCACGUCGGCCGUGAAACCUGCAGCUUAACUGUGGGCGUGCGGUCGAUACGGGCAUCACUGGAGUUCGGCAGGGGAGACUGGAAUUCCUGGUGUAGCGGUGAAAUGCGCAGAUAUCAGGAGGAACACCGGUGGCGAAGGCGGGUCUCUGGGCCGAUACUGACGCUGAGGAGCGAAAGCGUGGGGAGCAAACAGG
rnacentral:rRNA from 1 species